CUCAGCUCCGAAGGCCAGAAGCCCAAGGUCAAGGUGUCGGCAAGGUUGGUCCUUCUGAGGGCGGCGAGGGAGGGGUCUGUCCCCGGCCUCUCCCUCUGGCUCCAAGCCGGCCGUCUGCCCCGUCUGUCCACACUGUCUUCUCUCUGUGUCCCCUUGUUAUAAGGACACCAGUCACGCUGGCUUCUGGACCCACCCCACACCAGUAUGACCUCGUCUUAACUAAUCACAUGUCUAACAACCCUAUUUCCGAAUAAGCUCCUACUUUGAGGUAUUGGGGUUCAGGACUUGACGAUAUGAGUUUUGGGGGUUACUUGAUCCAGAACCAAUGGCCUCCCAGAGGAGUGCCUGGGGGAGCUGGGCCAGGUGAGCAGGGCUGGACAGGGGAGGGUGGGGAAAACCCAGAUGCUCCCAGCAGCAGGAAUGGAGUGAGCAGGCCUUUCUGGCAGGAGCGGCUCUAGAAGGUUCUUCAGACUCCCCGUGGCUGCAGAAGGUCUGUGAGUGCGUGUGUGCACGUGCUGGGGGCUGCGUCCCGCUCACCUCCAGGGUGGAGACAGACAGAGACCCUGUGCGGAGACAGUGGGGGGACCCGGGAAGGGGGCCUGUGCCGUUGGUCUGAUUCCCGAGGGUUUGUUUUCGACUUUCCGCUGACUCUGGAAGUGGACCGACACGGGGGUGGGCGAGAGAGAGGCAGAAAGGAGAGCACAGCCUUCGAAGCUGUAGCCAGGGGAAAUGUUUUUAUUUUCUGCUUCAAAGAAAAUGCCAAAUACGGAUAAAAAAAAAAAGAGGGGGGGAGGUGAAGAGAGAGAGUGAGCGAGACUGCGGGUGUGUGUGUGUGUGUGUGUGUAUGCGUGCGUGUGUGGUGUGUGUGAGAGAGAGAGAGGGACAGAGAUGGAGAGAGACAUCCUGGGUGUGAGAGGCACCCAAGACACCUGGGAAGGAGGGUCAGGCCCUGUUGUCCCUCUUUCCAGAUGCCACCACGGGGCCAUGGAGUACUAGCGGGGAGCACGGAAGGUGGAGAGCUGGGCGAGACCUCUCUAGCUUGCUUGUUGCCACCCAGGCUGGGUGGCCCUUAGGGAGCUCACUCCACGUCUCUGGGUCGAGGGGCCCUUUUGACGAGUGUCUCAACCAUAGGGGCACAGAUGUGUGGGACAGAACGAGUGUGCGUGUAGCAGAAAGAACAGUGGAGCAUCACUCGGAGAUGGGGGUGCGUGUGUCACACACCAGCAGAGUCAGAGGCAGCCGGAGCCGGACUCGACGUCAGCACGGGGAGCUCCUGCCCUCGGGCUCCGGGGCCGGCCCUCCCCAGCUCCUGACCACAGCACAGAAUGCCUGCUGGCUGCUCCCUGGAUCAGCCUGACCUCACCCCCGCCCCAAGCCAAGUGGACUCCCACUGACCUCUGACCUCGGUGCCCUCCCCCAGGCUAGAGCAGGAGAGAAGCCUCUUGGAAGGGUGGAUGGGCGGGGAAGGGCAGGGCGGAGGGUGGGAUGUACAGUGGGGCCCCUGACCUUAUCUAGCCCAGGCUCGCUCAGGCUGGGGCUCCAUGUGUGCCCCCCAGCCCCCCGCCCGAGGGGGCUUGCUGCCACUUCCGAGCUGUGUGAGCUGGUCCCUCCUCCCUCCUGCCCCUCGGCUUUCUCAUCUGUUGAAUGGACGUGACAGUCCCAAAGCCAGCGGCCCUCAAGGCCUGCACAAAGCAGAGGCUUGUUUGCAGAACAAGGAAUUUUCAGACUGAAACAGAGGGGAGGGGGGGCUUCUUCCGCAGAAGGGGGUGUCACAGCCCGGAUUUGUAGGGGCUGCGGUGGGAAGGGACGGAGGCGCCUUUGGGGCCAGGCUGGCGGUGGAAUUCGCUCCAGAGCUCUGAGCAGGCACAGGCCUGCCAGCCAGGCUUCAGAGGCCGGAACAAUGCAGAUCGGUGGCAGCAGGAGAAGCGGGCCUCCCGGAGGCCGGGCAGCCCCUCCGGGGGGGCCGACUCCCACCCAGGUGCAGCGCCCUCCCCCGCAGACACACCCCUCCCCAAACACACGUGCUGCCAGGCCCUCCAUUAGUCACCGCACUGACAUACAUAAAUCCCAUUAGUCCCGGCCCCACAAACUCGUCUGCACAACACACCCUGGCACGCCCAGACAAAAGAGGCCCGCAAAGAGGCCUUGUUUAUGCCCGGGUCUCGUCCCCAGUGCCUAGCACAGUGUAGGCACCCCAGGCCUCAGGGGGCACGUGGUCAGCCUCCCCCAACCUGCCAAUCUCCUGCAACCCGGCGCUGGGGCCCCCCAAUAAC
rnacentral:lncRNA from 1 species